GUAUCGCCACGUCUUGUAUAGCCAUCUAGUGGUAAUCGGUGGUAAUACAACGGUUGGAGGUGAAUUGCAGAUUGUUCAGUCGAUGAGUGGAAGAAGAGGUUGAGAUCGUUGAGAUGAUUGAGAUGUAGGUUCAAUAUAACGUAAUUCUGUAUGCUUCACGGAUCAGCACAGACCGUAUAUGAUUACCAGUCAUGUUCAUGUGCUCCAUAAGUCCUUAAGUUAGUAUGGAAGUAUGGAACAUAGUCGUCGUGAAUUGAUGUUCAUGCUGGCCAUGUAAAAAAAAACUAUAAUUGUCAGCGAAUUUUAUUUAUUUUACUUCUUCAGUCACCAUUUUCAGAGAGCAUUUUAAAUGUCACAUACAAUCAUAUGAUAAAAUACUUCUAGCGUCCUUGCGAUUGCUAUUUGUUGAUGUCAUUGCUUGAAGCCGACGUUACCGAUUGGAUACUUGUUUUUACAAGAUUAUGAACAUGAGAAAUUUUAGCAGGAGCGAAGUUGAAAAAUAUUACAUAACGACAGUUUUGUCUAAUACCAGCUGAGCUACAACGGUCAGCUUCGCUGCAGCAUUCAUCAUCCUACUCGAAAUUCUUACUGAGUGACCAGCUGUGCCAAUUUGGAACCAAAGCCAACAUUUCAGACAUCUGGUCUGCCCCCAUCAUCAGGGAAUAAAUGCCCAAAAAGACUUCAUCAAUUUUAAUCACAGACCUUGAAGAAAUAUCUGUGGUGUUAUGGGAAACAGACUUAGGUGAAAAACUAGUCAAGAUAAAUGCACCACAAAAUUUUCCUUAUUAAUGUCACUAAGCACAAUACUUUCCAUUU